AGAGUGUAGACACUGACUGAUGGGACCAGGUACAAAAUCCCCUGGGACAAAACAGAACUUUCAUAACUGGCUGUAGAGUUAUUGUUUUUGCCUUUUGGAAGCUUCCACCUUGUGACGGGAAGAGCACUGUCAGCCCAACACAGAAACUCUGCCGCCUGGAGUCACGUGGAUCCAGAUGCGAAGGGACUCCAACGUCAUGCUAAGGAGUUUGGGUAAUAACAAUGAUAAAAUGCACUUAUUGAGGUAGUGUUUAAUGUGUUUAAUGUAUCUUCUUUACACGUGUUUAAUGUAUCUUCUUUAAUCCUGAAGGCUAAGAAUUUGUACAGCCAUAUUACAGAUUUGGAAAAUGAUGUGAAGAGAAGCUAAGGGAUUUGCCACUGCCACUCAGCUGCCAAGGAUCAGAGGCAGGAUUCUAGUCUGUCCCCUUUGUUCCAUCACCCCUGCCUCCCCCUGGGCCCAGCCACCAUCACCUCUCCUGGGGGGAGCUCCUAAUUGUUCUCCCUUCUUCCUCUUGUGCGCUCCUCCAAACUAUCUCCAGCCAAAGUGAUCUUUAACAAUGUAAAUCCAGUUAUAUCACUCUUUCCAUUGUAACAGACAUUACUUCUACUUCUCAACGUCCAUCCUCCAACCAUUGUCCAGUGAUUCAGGCAGAAUUCCCUCCUGCUCAGGAGGUGAGUCGACCCAGUAGUGCCACUGGCUCUGCAACAGGAAUUGGUUAGCAGGGCUUUGCAUCUCCUUGGCCACAGACGUUGGGCAGGUGUGGAAAAAGGCCAUCAGCUAGAUGCUCAAGAUUGAAUUCUGAGAUUGUGGGGGUGAUGCUCUUGCUCUCAUCCCUGUCUGCAGGUAGCCAUCCUGUGACCCUGGAAGAAACCAGCCCAAGGAAGGUGCUAACCUACAGAAGAAGGACAUGGCCAGGGUAAUCACAUAGACCCGGAGUUGAAGCCCUGACUGCACCACACCCGAAGCCUCCCCACCUUUCAACCUCUCGGUGAUGGUGAACCAAUAAACUCUUUUUAUUGUUCAA
rnacentral:lncRNA from 1 species